rnacentral:rRNA from 1 species
ACCCGCUGAACUUAAGCAUAUCAAUAAGCGGAGGAAAAGAAACCAACAGGGAUUGCCCUAGUAACGGCGAGUGAAGCGGCUUCAGCUCAAAUUUGAAAUCUGGCGUCUUUGGCGUACGAGUCGUAAUUUGCAGAGGGCGCUUUGGCAUUUGGCAGCGGUCCAAGUUCCUUGGAACAGGACGUCACAGAGGGUGAGAAUCCCGUACGUGGUCGCUAGCCUUUACCGUGUAAAGCCCCUUCGACGAGUCGAGUUGUUUGGGAAUGCAGCUCUAAAUGGGAGGUAAAUUUCUUCUAAAGCUAAAUACUGGCCAGAGACCGAUAGCGCACAAGUAGAGUGAUCGAAAGAUGAAAAGCACUUUGGAAAGAGAGUCAAACAGCACGUGAAAUUGUUGAAAGGGAAGCGCUUGCAGCCAGACUUGCCUGUAGUUGCUCAUCCGGGCUUUUGCCCGGUGCACUCUUCUAUAGGCAGGCCAGCAUCAGUUUGGGCGGUUAGAUAAAGGUCUCUGUCAUGUACCUCUCUUCGGGGAGAACUUAUAGGGGAGACGACAUGUAACCAGCCCAGAUUGAGGUCCGCGCAUUUGCUAGGAUGCUGGCGUAAUGGCUGU